AAAAAAGAGGGGGGAAAAGGAAAAAAAGAAAAAAAGAAAGACAGGACAGGCUGCUGAGCACCACUACAUUGAGCAUGAUGUGUCUCCUGUAUGUGUGUUUCAUGUGAAGUAUUGUUCUGAUUAACUGACAUCCUUGCUUACAAGUUUCACUAACCCUUUGGAGUUUAAGCACAAAUGCACAAAGGGAAAAGAGGACGACCUGUUUGGGGUUCUUUUUUGCAAAAACAAACAGUCGCAUGCUGGACGCUAACACCAAGCUUACACUGUGUGUGUGAUACGGCUGAGCUGCUCCAUAAGGCUCUAUCUUUUAUCUGCCCAAGGCGUGCCCUGCAACUCUGGAAUGCAGAGCAGUUGCUGGGGUGAUUGACCUAGGCACAGUG
rnacentral:lncRNA from 1 species